rnacentral:lncRNA from 1 species
AUGCCUUUGCUAGUAAUUCUUUUACUAACAACAAGUUCUGUGGGUGGUGCUUUCAACUUUCCUAAGCAUACAGCCGUCAGAAUCACCAACUUGUUAGAAAGCAACGUGGACUUGACGGUGCACUGUAAAUCAAAUGACAACGACCUCGGGGAGCACACAAUUCGUCCAAGGGAAGAGUAUGAGUUUGAUUUUAAAACGAAUAUUUUUGGAACAACACUCUUCUUCUGCGGGUUUAAAUGGUCGAAUGAAUUUCAUUGGUUCGAUGUUUUCAGAACUAACAGGGAUGAUUGCAGCAGUUGCUUUUGGUCUAUAAUUGAAGCUGGCCCUUGCUUGUAUGGUGUUGAUGGUAUCUGCUAUCAGUGGAACAAGCAUUAG